UACGUAGGUGGCGAGCGUUAUCCGGAAUUAUUGGGCGUAAAGAGCGCGCAGGUGGUUGAUUAAGUCUGAUGUGAAAGACCACGGCUUAACCGUGGAGGGUCAUUGGAAACUGGUCGACUUGAGUGCAGAAGAGGGAAGUGGAAUUCCAUGUGUAGCGGUGAAAUGCGUAGAUAUUGGGAGGAACACCAGUGGCGAAGGCGGCUCUCUGGCCUAACCCUGACGCUGAGGCGCGAAAGCGUGGGGAUCAAACAGGAUUAGAUACCCCU
rnacentral:rRNA from 1 species